UUUAGUUUAGUAUAACCAUUAGAGUAUAUAUAUUUUUCGUGUAUAAGGUGUGCAUUAAGCAUAACUAAAA
rnacentral:tRNA from 1 species